UGAAAAUGGGCGCGGGCAAGCGGUCCGCCGAGGGGGGCUUCCGUGGGUGGAGAAGGGGCACCCCACCACCUGUUGAAGACAACAGGUGUGUCGCUACCUGACCAGUCUACACCUGACUCCGUUCUGUGUGUGUGUGUCUGUCUCUCUGUUGGUUUGUUAUGUUUGUGCCAUUUCGAGACGGGAGCCGGCCCGGAAUGGAAUGAGGGACUGUUUUGACAUGAGAGAAUUGGAUACUGCCAGCCCCGUCGUCUGGCCCGCUUGGUGUUACUCUGGUGAGUUGCAGAUUCGCAUGGAACCAAAAAAUAACAGUGAGCCUGCCCCACCAUUCCUAUUCGGUUUUGGUAAUUAUUAACAUUUUUUAAAAUGUAAUCGAACUAACCAAUGAAAAAUAGCCAACUGCCAGCUUGUCAAUAUAUACAAACUUAUA
rnacentral:misc_RNA from 1 species